GUCGCUACUACCGAUUGAAUGGUUAUAGUGAGCAUAUGGGAUCAGUAGGAUUAAACUGGCAACAGUUUUUCCCUGCAGAGAACUAUGGCAAACUAGGCUAUUUAGAGGAAGUAAAAGUCGUAACAAGGUUUCC
rnacentral:rRNA from 1 species